rnacentral:rRNA from 1 species
GAUGAACGCUGGCGGCGUGCUUAACGCAUGCAAGUCGAACGAUGAAGCCCAGCUUGCUGGGUGGAUUAGUGGCGAACGGGUGAGUAACACGUGAGUAACCUGCCCUUGACUCUGGGAUAAGCCUGGGAAACUGGGUCUAAUACUGGAUAUGACUUCUCAUCGCAUGGUGGGGGGUGGAAAGAUUUAUUGGUCUUGGAUGGACUCGCGGCCUAUCAGCUUGUUGGUGAGGUAAUGGCUCACCAAGGCGACGACGGGUAGCCGGCCUGAGAGGGUGACCGGCCACACUGGGACUGAGGCACGGCCCAGACUCCUACGGGAGGCAGCAGUGGGGAAUAUUGCACAAUGGGCGCAAGCCUGAUGCAGCGACGCCGCGUGAGGGAUGACGGCCUUCGGGUUGUAAACCUCUUUCAGUAGGGAAGAAGCGAGAGUGACGGUACCUGCAGAAGAAGCGCCGGCUAACUACGUG